rnacentral:rRNA from 1 species
GAUGAACGCUAGCGAUAGGCCUAACACAUGCAAGUCGAGGGGCAGCACAUGAGUAGCAAUACGAUGGUGGCGACCGGCGCACGGGUGAGUAACACGUAUGCAACCUACCUUUAACAGAGGAAUAACCCGUUGAAAAACGGACUAAUACUCCAUAACACAGGGGUCCAGCAUGGGAAUAUUUGUUAAAGAUUUAUCGGUUGAAGAUGGGCAUGCGUUCCAUUAGCUUGUUGGUGAGGUAACGGCUCACCAAGGCCACGAUGGAUAGGACAACUGAGAGGUUUAUCCCCCACACUGGAACUGAGACACGGUCCAGACUCCUACGGGAGGCAGCAGUGAGGAAUAUUGGUCAAUGGAGGUAACUCUGAACCAGCCAAGUCGCGUGAAGGAUGAAGGUCUUAUGGAUUGUAAACUUCUUUUGCAAGGGAAUAAAGUGGGGGACGUGUCCUCCUUUGCAUGUACCUUGCGAAUAAGGAUCGGCUAACUCCGUGCCAGCAGCCGCCGUAA